rnacentral:rRNA from 1 species
GUACUGAGACACGGACCAGACUCCUACGGGAGGCAGCAGUGAGGAAUAUUGGACAAUGGGAGCAAUCCUGAUCCAGCCAUGCCGCGUGCAGGAAGACUGCCCUAUGGGUUGUAAACUGCUUUUAUACAGGAAGAAAAAGGUGUACGUGUACACUGUUGACGGUACUGUAAGAAUAAGGAUCGGCUAACUCCGUGCCAGCAGCCGCGGUAAUACGGAGGAUCCAAGCGUUAUCCGGAAUCAUUGGGUUUAAAGGGUCCGUAGGCGGGACAAUAAGUCAGUGGUGAAAGUCUGCAGCUCAACUGUAGAAUUGCCAUUGAUACUGUUGUUCUUGAGUGCUUGUGAAGUGGUUAGAAUGAGUAGUGUAGCGGUGAAAUGCAUAGAUAUUACUCAGAAUACCGAUUGCGAAGGCAGAUCACUAACAAUUCACUGACGCUGAUGGACGAAAGCGUAGGUAGCGAACAGGAUUAGAUACCCUGGUAGUCUACGCCGUAAACGAUGGCUACUAGCUGUUCGGACCAAUUGAGGUCUGAGUGGCUAAGCGAAAGUGAUAAGUAACCCACCUGGGGAGUACGUUCGCAAGAAUGAAACUCAAAGGAAUUGACGG